CCUACGGGAGGCUGCAGUGAGGAAUAUUGGUCAAUGGGCGAGAGCCUGAACCAGCCAAGUCGCGUGAAGGAUGAAGGAUCUAUGGUUUGUAAACUUCUUUUAUCAGGGACGAAGCAAGUGACGGUACCUGAUGAAUAAGCCACGGCUAACUACGUGCCAGCAGCCGCGGUAAUACGUAGGUGGCAAGCGUUAUCCGGAUUUACUGGGUGUAAAGGGCGUGUAGGCGGGAGUGCAAGUCAGAUGUGAAAACUAUGGGCUCAACCCAUAGCCUGCAUUUGAAACUGUACUUCUUGAGUGCUGGAGAGGCAAUCGGAAUUCCGUGUGUAGCGGUGAAAUGCGUAGAUAUACGGAGGAACACCAGUGGCGAAGGCGGAUUGCUGGACAGUAACUGACGCUGAGGCGCGAAAGCGUGGGGAGCAAACAGGAUUAGAUACCCUUGUAGUC
rnacentral:rRNA from 1 species